AGGCCCCUCCUGCCCCUCCCCACCCCUGCAGGCUGGGCAGCCCCACCCUAAGCUCCAGACCCAAGGCAGGUAUUUCUCGAUAGAGGGGCCUGGCAGGCUAUAGUCCACAGGGUCGCACACAGUCAGACACAACUGAAGCGACUUAUCACACCCGCACCCGCCCCAAGUCAAGACGAGCCAGCCUAUCAGCAGCUGGUCACAUAACUCGGUUUAAACAGUUUUAAGCCCCGGUGCCUGUUUGCAAAGGCAGCCUUGCAGCACUUCGUGAGUAUGGAUACUGAUGACUAGGACCCACCAGGUGGUUCCGCUGCAGACACACGGCCAGCUGCCUGCGGCUCAACCCUGCAGGGAAACGCUGGCACCCCCCCUGUCCAACUGCCUCCCGCGGCUCCCCUGGACCACCGGCGCCCCCUCUCCCAGCGAGGUCCUGAGUGCACCCCCUCUAGUCCCAGACCCACCCCCCUCUCCCUGUCCCACCUCCAGGAGGUGCCUCAGACUGUGAUUGCCUUUGGCUCCUUACUGGAAGUAAGAGAAGGGAAGCAGCGGGUGGAGAAGCCUGGAGCAGGAAGGGGAAGGCACAGCCCAGGGAGAAGGAUAAAAUUCUCGAAAGUUCUCUUGCAGGAUCAGCUUUCCGUGGUUCUGAUUCAGUUUCCUAGGGCUGCCAAAUAAAACACCCCAAAGUUGGGGCUUAAAGCAACAGAAAUUGACGCUCUCGUGUGAAACUGGGGGUCCAAAAUCAACGCGUCACUGGGACUACUCUCCCUCCAAAGGCUCCGGGAGGGACUCCUUGCUUCCCUCGUCCAGCUUCCGGGGCGGCUGGCAGCCUGGAAAUCUCUGCUUGUGGGCGAAUCACGCAGAAUGACAGUUAGACUGCCCCCGGCCCCGCAGCAUGCCUUCCUGAUGUCCAGGCUGGUGCGUCUCUUCAUGGGCAUGGGAGGACCGGCCGUCCCCGCCCCCGAAGCCACGGCAACUGUGCACCCAGGCCGGCCGGUGAGACGUGAGCAGACCUGCCCGGGCACGUCUCAGCCAGGCAGCUGGUCCCCAGGGCUGGACGCGCCUGCUCUGGUUUCCCCGCUGCGACGACUGGAGCCCCUGCAGGUGGUGGAGCCUGAGCCCCUGAGUGAGGACCCUCCAGUGUCUGACGGAGAAGAAAACUGAGGGAGACAGACCUUUCUGGCUUCACCGCCACUGGGAUUUAGGCGUGCUUGCUGCGUGGCUUCACCGCAUCCCCAUAGAGCUGCAGUGUCCUUGGGUGACUUUCCUUCACGCCACAGAAGCAGCAGCUGGCCUUAUUUAUCCCCCAAUAUCCAGGUGUUUUGGGCCCCAAGGACUGACAUACACAUUUGAUACCCACACAUACAAUUAAGGGGCCACAAGUAAGGGAUGCCUCGACUGUCACGGAACUAACUGAGUGAAGCCUCUAACGGAAAGCAGUAUGACUCAGAAAUCCUCACUCUUAAUGUCCUAUUUGGGGGAAACAUUCCUGUCUCCUUCAUAUUCUAGCUAUAGGAUAUUUAUAUUGAUUUUUUUCCCCGCACAAUGGAGAUAAAUCCAGAGAAAGCAUUUGCAUCUAGA
ensembl:lncRNA